AGGACGAACGCUGGCGGCGUGCUUAACACAUGCAAGUCGAACGGAAAGGCCCUUUCGGGGGUACUCGAGUGGCGAACGGGUGAGUAACACGUGGGUGAUCUGCCCUGCACUUCGGGAUAAGCUUGGGAAACUGGGUCUAAUACCGGAUAGGACUACGAAUCGCAUGGUUUGUGGUGGAAAGCUUUUGCGGUGUGGGAUGGGCCCGCGGCCUAUCAGCUUGUUGGUGGGGUGAUGGCCUACCAAGGCGACGACGGGUAGCCGGCCUGAGAGGGUGUCCGGCCACACUGGGACUGAGAUACGGCCCAGACUCCUACGGGAGGCAGCAGUGGGGAAUCUUGCGCAAUGGGCGAAAGCCUGACGCAGCGACGCCGCGUGAGGGAUGACGGCCUUCGGGUUGUAAACCUCUUUCGACCGGACGAAGCGAGAGUGACGGUACCGGUAGAAGAGCGACCGGCUAACUACGUGCCAGCAGCCGC
rnacentral:rRNA from 1 species